AAGGCAACGUUAAUAUGCUUUGAUAGGGACACUUGUCAGAGACUUUCUCCAGCUAGCUUCUCCUUUCUUGAAGAAUGCCAAGUAACGGGAAUUAUAUCGCAGACCAACUUUGCAAAUUGGCUUCCAUCUCUCAAGAACUUGUUGCAAUUAAGAACUCAGUUCUUCCCACAGGUCUCAACUGGCCAUUUUCUGUAACCAGCCAAGGGCUCAAGUGGAGGAAUUGUUACACCAACCUAUCUCUAAACCCUUGACCUACAGAUUCUACUGCCUGUAGAGUGAACUGGGACUGGAGCUUAGCAGAAUCAUCAUUAAAGAGAUCAGAGAGACUUCUUCCAGCAUCUGAUGGGAGCAGAUGCACAGUCCCACAACCAAACAUUAGGUGGAGUUCAAAGAGUCCUGGGGAGACAGGAGGAAGGAUCUGAGGAUUGGUCAGGAACAUACCGUGAGAAUGUUGCCCAGAGAACUAAUUGACUGAGAUUUGUGGGAAGUUGCAGAGAUCAGUAAUCCUGUAGAGCUCUAACCUGGGUACUUUACAUACAUAUGUUAUGGCUGAGUGGCUUGGUGUUCUUGUGGAAAUCAGGGUCUAUCCCUCACUAACUCUUUUGCCUAUCUGUGAAAACCAUUUUCUCUUACUGGGUUGUCUUGCCCAGCUUUGAUGUGAUGGUAUGUGCCUGGUCUUAUUGUAGUUUGUUAUAGCCUGCUUGAUAUUUGGUUGAUGUCCCUGGGAGGCCGGCUCUUCUCAGCGGGGAGAGAAGAGGGAGGGGAAAUUGGUUGAGAUGUAAUUCAUGAGAGAAUAACAAAAAAACAAAGUCUAAUUCAGUUAGUAGAUUCAUAGACUAACACCUUGGUCACAUGUGUACUUCAAGCUGCUGUCUCCCUGUGUGUGAAUCCAUUCAUAUGCAUGUGCAGUAGUCAGAGGCAGCUUUUGGGAACUGUUUUUUUUUUUUUUCCUUCUGUUUUGUGGGCUUCAGAAUUAGAUCUCAGUUGAUCAAGCUUGACAGCAAGUGCCUGUACACACUGAACCCUCUCAUUGAUCCCCUAAUAUAGUUUCCAAUAGUCUGUAAAGGGCAUAUAUUUGCACUAUAAUCUUAUUUUUAAAGUAAAAAGUAAACUUAAGUGUUCAUUUGAAUGGGCAAGGAUGGAAAACAGGUUGUCUGAGGAUAUCAAGUUAAUUGAAGAAUUUUACUAAAAUUAUCCUAGGAGUUUUCUUGUUCAGCACAAUGAAUUGAAACACCUUAAACAUUAAUAGGUAACAUUUACACAUUAGUUACAUGGUCAAGAGAUAAUUUUAGAAUUUUAAAUAAUUUUUAAUGUAUGGUAUUAUGUCUAAUUUAAAGAAAUUUUCUCUCC
ensembl:lincRNA Gm29601 predicted gene 29601